GAAUCUAAACCAGCGGGUCAGUCACACAAUAAAUUCUCUCUGCAAUAUCUCCUCUAAAUCUUUCCAUUCAGCGGAGGAGUCAGACUGUCUGACGGAGUACGAGGAAGACGGCAUGGACACAGUACGAGAGGAAGAGGGUGAGGAGGAGGAGGAGGAGGAGGAAGAGGCAGAGGAUCCAGACGAUAUCUCCCCUGGAGAGUGGGGCCAGAAUGGAGUCUUUCAGACUGAUGAGGAAAAAACUGUGAGACAACGCAGGAAACUGGCCAGUGAUUCCAACACCUCUGAAGUCUCUGACUGCUGACAAAGGAGUAUGGAGGAGAGGAGGGAGUUUAUACAAGAACAAGGGAUAAAUUACUGGUCCAUAAACUGUAAAAGAUAGAGACUUGGACCCCACGCUCAGCUCCUAGAACUUCUGCAGGAAAACGCUGUUCAUGCUCGAAAUCCUUGAACAUUCUUUGCAUCGAAUGGCUUUCUGUUCACAUUUUAACCCCACCGUCAAAAUCGAAUACGAACAGUCUUUUUAUGCUCUUCCCUGCCCAGCAAUUUCUCUCAUCACUUUGCAUCAAACUUACCGGUGCCAGAAUCCCUGCCUGCCAAACCGGGACACAAACAAAACACAACAGGGACACCUAAAACUCCUAAAUCACAUGUUUUUUUGUUUCAAAUGGCCAGAAGGACCCUGUCUGUGUCCCUGAGUCUUUACGUGUGUCUCUACCGUUGGUACAUUUUCAAUUGCACUCAAUUAUUGAGGAUUUAACGCAUUACAUAGUCCUACGAUUUCUUGUGUGCACUGGAUGAGUGCCUGAAUGUUAGAAUGACUGUUUUUGUGAUUUCUUGAAGGAGUAGCAGGACACUGAACAAAUAAGUAGGGAAUACAUGCAAUAGAGCUGUAGUUAGUAAGAGUUAUACAGGCUUAUUGUAACAUGUAGAGAUCCAGGAAGGGCAGGCUGGAGGAGGAACAGAUGAUUAUGUAAACACCAAAGCCGACUUUAUAUUGAAUGAACAGAACAGAACCAGUGAUAAAUCUACUCAGUGACUGGAGAAAGAGUGAUAUUUUCCCCGACACUACACAACAAACCAGUAGCGUGACCGCCUCUGUUUCCACAAGGUCACACACAAAGCACUCAAGGUUCCUGUGUAUAGCGACAAUAAGGAGUGUAUGACAGCGAAUCUGAGAUUGCACAGUAAUGAAAAUCUUUCAAAUCUAGUCAACAAAUUAUUGUCGGAUUGUACACAGAAACCCUUAGUACGUCUUAACUUCAAAUGAGCAAAAAUGCAACUAAUUUAGCUAUUAACACAAUUAACAUGGACCUUUUAUAGAUUGUAACAAGAUUAUAUUAUAAUAUACACAAUGUUGAUAUUCAUAUAUGUAUAUGAGGUGGACAUUUGUAAAUUAGAGCUUUGCUGCAAGACAAGAGAACCUACACAUAAACAAGUGUUUCUUCUCUUAAAAUGCAUUAUGUUUUUAUUUAUACUUGUUAACUACUGGCUUUUUAAAAUCUUUUUUUUUCUGGUGGGGCUGGAGGGGGGUGUAUUGUUUUAAAUAACUUGGCUUUCGCUGUUUUGCACUGAAACAUUUAAAGUAUUCCUUGCUCAGAAGAUGUUUGGUUUAAUAAUUGCCAACCUUAAUAUGACAAGAAAAUCUAAAGAAUAAAAACAGAUAAUAAUUUAAUAUGCAUAUUGGAAAAUAAAAAUAAUAUGCAGUA